UACGAAGGGGGCUAGCGUUGCUCGGAAUCACUGGGCGUAAAGCGCACGUAGGCGGGUCGUUAAGUCGGGGGUGAAAUCCUGGAGCUCAACUCCAGAACUGCCUUCGAUACUGGCGACCUUGAGUCCGGGAGAGGUGAGUGGAACUCCGAGUGUAGAGGUGAAAUUCGUAGAUAUUCGGAAGAACACCAGUGGCGAAGGCGACUCACUGGCCCGGUACUGACGCUGAGGUGCGAAAGCGUGGGGAGCAAACAGG
rnacentral:rRNA from 1 species